UGGGCGUUAAGUUGCAGGGUAUAGACCCGAAACCCGGUGAUCUAGCCAUGGGCAGGUUGAAGGUUGGGUAACACUAACUGGAGGACCGAACCGACUAAUGUUGAAAAAUUAGCGGAUGACCUGUGGCUGGGGGUGAAAGGCCAAUCAAACCGGGAGAUAGCUGGUUCUCCCCGAAAGCUAUUUAGGUAGCGCCUCGUGAAUUCAUCUCCGGGGGUAGAGCACUGUUUCGGCUAGGGGGCCAUCCCGGCUUACCAACCCGAUGCAAACUGCGAAUACCGGAGAAUGUUAUCACGGGAGACACACGGCGGGUGCUAACGUCCGUCGUGAAGAGGGAAACAACCCAGACCGCCAGCUAAGGUCCCAAAGUCAUGGUUAAGUGGGAAACGAUGUGGGAAGGCCCAGACAGCCAGGAUGUUGGCUUAGAAGCAGCCAUCAUUUAAAGAAAGCGUAAUAGCUCACUGGUCGAGUCGGCCUGCGCGGAAGAUGUAACGGGGCUAAACCAUGCACCGAAGCUGCGGCAGCGACGCUUAUGCGUUGCUGGGUAGGGGAGCGUUCUGUAAGCCUG
rnacentral:rRNA from 1 species